GGGGAGUAAAAUUUUGGAGGGAAAAUAUUUAAAAAAAAAUUGGAGGGGGGAGGGUUUGGGGUAGAUGGGAGGUGGGAUGGGAAGAGAAUAAAAGUUUUAGGGGAAAAGUGGGAGGGAGUAAAAAUUUUGGAGGAAAAUAAAAAGUUUUGAGGGUUUUUGAGAGAAAUUUUGAAAAAAAAUGAAUGGAAGAGUAAAAUUUUGGUGGAAAAUGGAUUUUGGGUAGAUUGGGGGGUUGGGAGGGGAGGGGAGUAAAAGUUUUGGGGGAAAAGUGGGAAGAAGUAAAAGUUUUGAGGGAAAAGUAAAAAAGUUUGGGAGUUUAGGGUAAAACUGUAAAAUAUUAUAGUUUGAUAUUCGAAUUAUUCGAGUUAUUCGAAUUCGAAAACUCAACUCGAUUCGAACUCGAAAUUCGAAAAAAAAUUCGAGUUGAUUCGAAU
rnacentral:lncRNA from 1 species